rnacentral:rRNA from 1 species
ACUUGGUGUUGGAGACCCUUUGGGGGUGUUCAGUGCCGGAGAGAAGUUGUUAAGUCUGCUACUUGGGGAGUACGUCCGCAAGGAUGAAACUUAAAGGAAUUGGCGGGGGAGCACCGCAACGGGAGGAGCGUGCGGUUUAAUUGGAUUCAACACCGGAAAACUCACCAGGAGCGACGGUUACAUGAAAGUCAGGCUGAUGACCUUACUCGAUUUUCCGAGAGGUGGUGCAUGGCCGUCGUCAGUUCGUACCGUAAGGCGUUCUCUUAAGUGAGAUAACGAACGAGACCCUCACCAAUAGUUGCUACUUUACCCUCCGGGGUGGAGGCACACUAUUGGGACCGCUGGCGCUAAGUCAGAGGAAGGAGAGGUCAACGGUAGGUCAGUAUGCCCCGAAUCUCCUGGGCUACACGCGCGCUACAAAGGGCGGGACAAUGGGUUCCUACACCGAAAGGUGACGGUAAUCCCGAAACCCGUCCGUAGUUCGGAUUGAGGAUUGUAACUCAUCCUCAUGAAGCUGGAUUCCGUAGUAAUCGCGAAUCAACAAUUCGCGGUGAAUAUGCCCCUGCUCCUUGCACACACCGCCCGUCAAACCACCCGAGUUGGGUUUCAGUGAGGCUGCCUCUUUUUGGGGUUGUCGAACUGAGAUUUAGCAAGGAGGGUUAAGUCGUAACAAGGUAUCU